ensembl:lincRNA Gm28760 predicted gene 28760
AGACCCACACUGCGCGCAGAGCAGAGCCAGUGGCCACCUGAGCCGGAGUCCGCAGCGGGCGAGCCCGGAGCCGACCAGCCUCAGACACAGAGCUGCCUCCGUACGGGCCUGCGGGAGACAGUGGCCCGUGAGCAGACUAGCAGCUGCGGCAUCCAGGCAUGGGGCCCCACCGCGAAUGGAAACGCUGGCCCCUGGGAAUGGCUGAGGACUUGAGACAUAGCUUCGCGUCACAAGGGUAUUUUUCCCAAACGAAACUGCUUCAUUUGUUCGUUAGUUCGUUAGGGUAGCAAUGCUGCCAAAAAGUAGUAGGGACCGGCCAAAGUCCUGACUUCUUCGCCCAGGACCACGAUGUCCCGCUGUCACCUUCAGAGAUAUCCCAGCCUAUGGUGGCCUGCUCCCUGCGGCAUAGUUCGGACUUUUACUUCCCCUAAGAGAAAACCCAAAUACACCUCGUAAAGUCCAAUAAAAUUGCUCCCGAUGC